AUAAAAGAGCGAAGAAAAGCUACCUCUCCAGAGUUCAUGUUUUCAUCGCUCAACUGGAUGAAAACUGAAUCUUCUAUGGAAUUUUAAAGGCCACGCAUGUCGAGCAGAAUUUGGUAGAACAACAUAAGCAAAUCUGUAUAAGAAACAAAGAUUACAGACUGCACUUUUGGGAGAAUCUGCUUGUUUGAAAAUUAAGCAGAAUUUGGUAGCAUAACAUAAGCA